rnacentral:misc_RNA from 1 species
AACCUAGCACACCUGCGGUGUGUACCUGCGGAAGGAUCAUUACCUAGAGUUGUAGGCUUUGCCUGCUAUCUCUUACCCAUGUCUUUUGAGUACCUUACGUUUCCUCGGUGGGUUCGCCCGCCGGUUGGACAAAACUUAAACCCUUUGUAGUUGCAAUCAGCGUCUGAAAAAACUUAAUAGUUACAACUUUCAACAACGGAUCU